UAUCUUAUAAGUCACAUGGGUUAUAUGUGCCGUGAUCGUAACAGAGCAUUAACGUCGGUAGUCAUCUCUUUGAGCUCGACGACUUGUGGGAGAAAGAAGAAGACAGGGAGGAAAAUGUCAGCUACGGUUUCGUUGAGCUCGACGACUUCCCAAAUCAGUGGCUUUUCUGCUGGCCUAAAGAUCCGGAAGUCAUCUCUUUCUCCUCCCAACUCACUCACCUCGACCAGGAGGAAGUUUCAAACCACAGUGAAGGCAACAGCACGCAUUGAUAAGUUCUCAAAGAGUGACAUAAUUGUUGCUCCAUCUAUUCUCUCUGCCAAUUUUGCAAAGUUGGGUGAACAGGUGAAAGCAGUGGAGUUGGCAGGAUGUGAUUGGAUUCAUGUUGAUGUAAUGGAUGGUCGUUUUGUGCCAAAUAUCACUAUUGGACCUCUUGUAGUUGAUGCAUUGCGUCCAGUGACAGAUCUUCCAUUGGAUGUUCAUUUGAUGAUUGUGGAACCAGAGCAGCGGAUACCAGAUUUUAUCAAGGCUGGUGCAGACAUUGUCAGUGUUCACUGUGAACAAUCUUCUACCAUUCAUUUGCAUCGGACACUUAAUCAAGUUAAAAGUUUGGGAGCUAGAGCCGGAGUAGUUCUAAAUCCAGCUACCUCACUAUCUGCCGUAGAAUAUGUACUUGAUGUGGUUGAUCUGGUGUUGAUCAUGUCAGUAAACCCUGGAUUUGGUGGGCAGAGCUUUAUUGAAGGUCAAGUCAAGAAAAUAUCUGACUUGAGGAGAUUGUGUGCUGAGAGGGGUGUGAACCCAUGGAUCGAAGUUGAUGGUGGCGUUGGCCCCACAAAUGCCUAUAAGGUUAUUGAAGCUGGAGCAAAUGCAUUGGUUGCUGGUUCUGCUGUUUUUGGUGCUAAAGAUUAUGCUGAAGCUAUAAGAGGGAUCAAGACCAGCAAGAAGCCACUAGAUGUUGCAGCAUAAAGUAUGUGAACUGCUCCAAAAAAUUGUGCCCCAUUCAAGUGUUUGCAGAUCAAUGUAGAUAUUAUGCCACAGAAGGCUGAACAGAGCAGCAUCUACUAGCUGGUGUCAGUUGUCCUCUUUCCCUCUAAUUACUUUGGCUCUGAGAAAUGGUGACAUCAAGUCUUGUGGUGGGAAAGGAAUUUUUCUAAUUCUGCACCAAAGCUGAUUAAAGUUGCGAAAUUUUCAAUAUAUGGAUAUUUUUAUGUUGGUUUAUGUAUGUGGCUGCAUUAAAUUUCUAGUAGUGGAUGGUGAAGAAGCCGUCUGCAAUGAAAUCAUUUGCUCCUUGACCAAGUCUCUAAUGCCAACUAAGAAUAUCAUAUGUGACUAUGUGACUGGUCAAUUCAAUUAAAUGAUUUAAGAGAGAGAGAGAGGUUUGGGUGGUUUAAGUGAUUUUUGAACCCUUUAUUCCUUUAUUUGUUUCCUCUAAUAGAAGAAUGCUUUAACCAUCAAAAUCACUAAUUAACUAAAUAUGUUUAGCACCAAACAUCCACACAUUUAGUGGAGAUACUUGAAAGA